UCUAAGAAAUUGGGUGACAGGCGUUAUCACCAUGCGAGUGGAGAUAGCAAGGAUCACCGUAAUGGUGAUAAACCUAUCACCGAAAUUUGUCACCAUUGGUAGUGACAACCGCUACCACCGUACGAUGGUAGUAGUCUCUCUGCACGUGGCUCAGAGUACGUGGCGGAGGAAACAAAUAAUACCGUCCCCAAAUAUUGGUGCAUUUAUUGACACGUUGGAGAAAAAUUCGGACGUGGAGACCUCGAUUCGCCUGGAUGACGAUGACGGGACAAAAAUUAACGAAGUAAUGUUUCCAUAAAAUUUAGUUGCUUUUUUGCAGCUGUAAAUACACAUGUAUGUACAUCAUUAAUUAAUGUAUAUUUUUUUUAAUUGGUCCGCCAACUGUAAUCGAUCCGAGGUCACCGGUUGUACUUCAAAAAUAUCGUCGAUAGUACAACAGCAUAUGUACUUGCAAAUGCAAAAAUUGGGACAAAGCUCUUCCAACUGAAAGUGUCCUACAUGUCGUUACUGGAAAUUUCGCAACUUUAAUUGCUGGUGCCACAAUGGUGAGAGGUUUUACAUACAUAUAUAUUUAUACAUAAGUAUUAAUUAUCUGUUUAAAUACUUGAAUAAACUAAUAAAUUAUGAAAAAUGUGA